rnacentral:rRNA from 1 species
CGCGUAGGCGGUUACUCAAGUCGGAUGUGAAAGCCCUCGGCUUAACUGAGGAAGUGCACCCGAAACUGAGUAGCUAGAGUACUAAAGAGGGUCGCGGAAUUCCCGGUGUAGAGGUGAAAUUCGUAGAUAUCGGGAGGAACACCGGUGGCGAAGGCGGCGACCUGGGUAGAUACUGACGCUGAGGCGCGAAAGCGUGGGGAGCAAACAGGAUUAGAUACCCUGGUAGUCCACGCCGUAAACGAUGGGUGCUAGAUGUUUCUGGUAUUGACCCCGGAGGCGUCGUAGCUAACGCGUUAAGCACCCCGCCUGGGGAGUACGGCCGCAAGGCUAAA